rnacentral:tRNA from 1 species
GGGGUUGUGGCUCAGUGGUAGAGUGCUCACUUACCAUGUGUGAGGCACUGGGUUUGAGUCUCAGCACCACA